UGAGCCGAUCUGAGGCGUGCAUGGACAGACACAUGGCUCAUGGCACCGCAAAGCGUGUGGCGACUGUGCCUGUGCGGGUGCAUAUGUAGCACAGGGAAGACGAUCUCAGUUUUGGGAUAUAAGGUUCACUCAUCUGAUGAAAUGUACUGCUGACACCUAAUUCUCUCCUCGGGCAUUUGGUUUAUUUCGGUUCAGUUUAUACUGUUUGUGAUAAUAUCGGUUUUUUAAGAACGGAACACGAAUUUGAUCACUACAGAUUUGAAAACCGAACCUAAUAAUAUCAAUUAACGGAACCCAAAUUUGAUCACUAAAUUUUUUAAAAAUGGACCUAAUAGAUUGAAAUAUUCCGUUUAACUGGAUUGCCAUAGUCACAUGCCAAUAGAAGAGGAAAGUAUAGUUUCCCCACUCAAAUCAUCACUAAUGGAUUAAUAUCCCCCUCAACUUUAAAACCGGAUUAUUUCCCCUCUAAACUUUGCGAAAUUGUAUAAAUCUCACCCUAAGGUGGUUUUGGACAGAAUUAAAGUGGUUUUGAUUUAAAUUGAAGCUGACUCGCAAAUGGUUGGUCAUAUGACGUAGCUGGCGCCUGCAGCCGCCGGUCCGGCUUCCUACGGGGGGCGAGGCUCGGGGACCGGCGGCGGCGGCCACGUCAUAUUACCACUCAAUUGCCAGUCAGCAUCAGUUUAAUCAAAAUUACUUGNNNNNNNNNNNNNNNNNNNNNNNNNNNNNNNNNNNNNNNNNNNNNNNNNNNNNNNNNNNNNNNNNNNNNNNNNNNNNNNNNNNNNNNNNNNNNNNNNNNNNNNNNNNNNNNNNNNNNNNNNNNNNNNNNNNNNNNNNNNNNNNNNNNNNNNNNNNNNNNNNNNNNNNNNNNNNNNNNNNNNNNNNNNNNNNNNNNNNNNNNNNNNNNNNNNNNNNNNNNNNNNNNNNNNNNNNNNNNNNNNNNNNNNNNNNNNNNNNNNNNNNNNNNNNNNNNNNNNNNNNNNNNNNNNNNNNNNNNNNNNNNNNNNNNNNNNNNUCCGAUUUUAAAGUUGAGGGGGAUAUUUAUCCAUUAGUGAGUAUUUGAGGGGGGAAAACUAUAGUUUCCUCCCAAUAGAAUAUGGACCUCCUAUUCCCCAACCCAUGCAAUGGAAAACGAGGUAACUUGCCUGGCCAAGGUGCGGGGUGGGGCUCCCUUGUUUCUUUUUUAGUUUUAGUUUUUGUUCCUUUGCUUCUUUAAAACAAACUUGGGAUUUCACAUAGUUUUGUAUUUCAAAAAAUGUUAAAGAAUUCCAAAAUGUUCAUGAUUUAAAAAAUGUGCAUUUUUUGAAUUUGAUGAACAGUUAUUUGUAUUUUGAUGAACGAAUCAUUUUAUGAAUAAUUUUUAAAUUUUGGUGAAUAUUUUUAAAAUUUAUGAACGUAUUUUUAAAUGGCUGAGAUUUUUUUGAAAGUGGAUGAAGAUUUUGGAAUAUGACUAACAUUUAUUAAUAUGAUGAAAGAACUUUGAAUUCAAUGAACAUUUUCAAAAAAAAUGUGCAAGGUAAUAAAAAAACGAAAAGGUAAAACAAAAUUAAAUAUAAAAGAAAAACGAAAAUUAGAAAAACAAGAAAAUGGAAAAUGAAAGAAAAACAAAAAAGUAGGUCUGCAAAUGUUCCCAAAACUGGGAAUAGGGAGCAUGCCCUACCUGGGUUGACCCGGAUUCAAAUAGUGACCAUUGGGAGGUGGGGGCGGGGGGUGCGCAUUUGAUCGAAAAAUGUAGACCUACGUGGAGAAUAAGAAUCCCGAAUAGAAUACAUUGAGGCAUUGAGAAUGAAGUGGUGCUGACUCUGGGCCUCACUUGCUUCUUGCAUGGGAGUAGAUGUGCCUUAAAGGUUAGUCGGGCAUGUAGAGCAAAAGAAGUUGAUAGACAUGUAUUCAAAACUCAAAUGGGUUCCCCUUCGGAAAAAAAACUCAAAUGGGCAGCACUAGGCACCGGUCAACUGGCUCCAACCUCGACCAUGGUGAUUACUAUUCGUCGCAAGGGUCGACGGAUAGCGAGCAAACGCGCACCCCCGCCCGUGUGAAUGGGCCGAAACGUUAGUCUGUUCCGCAUUUUUCUGUCUAUUUUCUUUCAUUCAUUUCUUUUUUCUUUGUUACUUUUCCUUUUUCUUCUCAGUUUUUAUUUUCAUCUUCUGUAUUUUAGUUUUUCAAAAUAGCAAAAAAAAUCGAAAACUUAUUUUCAAAUCACGUGCAGUUUUGUAAUUCAUGAAUUUUUUUAAAAAUCAUAUACAUUUUUAGAAUUUUGAACAUUUUUUGAAUUUGAGAAAUUAUUUUUGAUUCGUAAACAUUGUUUUCAAACUUUUGAACAUUUUUUCAAAGUCAUGAAUAUUUUUCAAACUCACAAACAUAUGAACAUUUAUUUCGGUCACUUAUUUUAUUACUGGUUUGCUAGUGUUUCAAAGCACAACAAACAAAUUAAAAUAUAUUCUUGUAGAAAGGUGUGAAACAUCUCUUUCUGCGAUACAAAUAUAUGAAGUAUAUUUUUCACCACAAUAUAUAUAAACUAUAUUUGACCUUAUCAAUAAAUUAAUGCUGGUAAAGUUAGCGAUAUUUAUUUUGUUCUUAUGAUAAACACAUCCCACUGAAGAUUUGAGGCAGAAUUUUAUUGAUGGUUUUUUUUGGUGCAUAUUGAUAAUUGAUAAUAUGCCAUAUCUCGACAUUGUAUUUAUUAUUUUCCAGAUUUGCUGUGGAAGCCCAUUCGACGUGGGCGGUCCAUGGCCACCCCUAUGUUUGUGUAGACCGUUUCAUAGCUUACAUGCAUUGUGUCGCUAUGUUCGGCCAUCUUCGAUGUUGUAUUGAGCAUUUUUUUUCUUGCUGCUAUCCGAAAUUCUACUUGAAAAUUGUUUUCUAACGGAAGUUGUAAGCUGUUAAGGGUCUCAGUUUAAGUCCGAGCAAGUGCCCUCCUCUCUAAAGAGAGAGAGAGAGAGCCCAUUAAUCGUUCAAGGACUUACAUGCAAAAUGGGAUAGCCCAUUCACUAUUCAAGGACUUACAUGCAAAAUGGGAUAAGGAAAAGAACCUGGUUCAAAAUCCUGUGGGUGUUCGACGGGUUUUUGUGCAGUGCUGCAUAAAAUAAUAACUUUUAAUGAGUUUUCAUGCAGGGCCAUUUAUAUGCAAAGGCAAGUUAAUUAAUAAUACAAAGAAAAAAAUUGGUUUAGCAUGGCACAAGCAUGCAUAGGAAGCUGCCCACGUUCUUGCACAUGUACGUGCAUGCAAUCUUGGUGCAAGUUGGACACAUCCUGGCCACAUGCACGUAGAGUAGAUGUAAUAGUCUAGUUUUAUACGUGUACGUAUUUGAGUAUCUACGGCUGGCCGGCAAGGUCGCGUUUAUACAUACUCGAAUACCUGCUCGUUGACAUACUCUAUAUAGGUAUAUAUUCAUAUUUGCGCCGACAAGCACGUAGAUAUAGGCCUCUGACCAAUAUCAGGUAACUAAGAUGCUCACGAUGCAUUGUUUGGUAUGCAUAUGACUUCUUUGCGCACAUGAGAAGGGCUUGUGCGGCACAUUUGAAAAGUAAAGGAGCCAUCGGUGGCUAGCUAGCUAAAAUUGGCAAUACAUACAUGGACCAGAUUUGGUUACCUUUUCUUAUGCAGACUUGUGCGUCAAGAAGAGCAAUAAAAAGAAAGCUUUGGCCACGCUCAAUCGGGGCUAGUCACCUAUAAAUACAUGAAGAGAGCCGACGUAUCGACGGGGGAGAAUUGGCCGCAGCCAGCAAGGAGACGCGCCCAAGGCGGCGGCGUCGAGUAGAAGGGACGCGUCGGCAACGAAGUCAGACGCCCCACAAGACGGGUGCGCAGUACACCACGGCAUGGAGAUGCACUGAAGGAGAUGCAUGCACGUGCAACAGCCGUGUUCUUUUCUUCUUAUAUGGUAUGUAUAGUUUAUUCUUAACAGGUUUCAGGGAGGAUGCACCCGGAGGAGAAGACAACGGCUCGCGCGACGGAAGUCAGGCGUGCCCACGGAGACAGUGCGUACGUACACAUGCGAGAGGAUGUGGCAGCGGCAGUGACACCCAUCCGAGCUCGACGACGGCGACGGCAACACACGCGAGGCCGAGCUAGCUCACGGCGAGCAUGCAGAUGGUCGAGGAGACGGAGAAACAGGAGCGUACCAAGCCCCAUUGACCAACUUUAUUUGUUACUAUAUGUCUUCUAUCUAUCAGGUGCUACAUAAAAGGGCAAGGCAAGAAUAACCAAGUCGGAGUGCCACGCAGCUGAAGGCCAUGCAUCUGCCAGCAGCAAAGCCAUCAACCGGGAGACCAUGGAGAUGAAGAAAGCUGGGCACUCAGGAGAUAUGUGCAACGGCUAGUACGUCCUCUUCUUUCUCUAUCGUACGUACGUUCUUUUUUCAUGUACCAGGUGCAACGGAGGCGGCGCACGACGCGCCCAAAGGAGGUGGCUGCGAACGAUGAGACGAUCUUCUCGUAGGAGCAGUUGAGGCGGUGGACGACGCGCCCAAUGGAGGUGGCCGCGGACAAAGUGACGCUCUUCCCGUACAAGGUGUUGUCGAGGCGGUUGACGACGCGCCCAACGGAGGUGGCCGCGGACGAUGCAUCGCUCUUCUCGUACCAGGUGCUAUCGAGGCGGCGGACGAUGCGCCCGACGGUGGUGGCCAUGGACGAAGCGUCACUCUUUCUUGUACCAGAUACAAUGAAGAUGGCGGACGACGGCACGGGACAAGGAGACCGCGUCAACAACGCCAGGCCCAUUGCCAACAUCAUCGACCCACUGCCGCAGAGGAUUGCAGUGUGGAGCUCGCAAGGAGGAUGUAGGUGUGGCGCUCGUUGGGGACGCCAUCGACGUCUGCUUCGUCAAGAUGGAGCCAGGAGGCGUGGAGGCUAGCAAGGAUGUCGCCGCCUUUCCGCGGUGGAUGGACGGAGCUUGCUAGGACGACGCAUGUCGUCUUCUUCAACAAGCUGGCGUCACGAAGGACGAAGGUGUGGAGACUUGCGAGGAUGCCGCCGCCGUGCCGCGUUGGAUGGCGACACCGAGCUCGCUAGGACAACAUCCAUCGUCAACAUCAACAAGCUGGUGUUGCGGUGGAUGGAGGCGUGGAGCUCGCAAGACGACACCACCGAUGUCUACCUCAUCAAGACGGAGCCCACGACGCAGGAGUCCAUGAAGAUGACACACACACCCCCGGUGCUGCCCGCAACACGGAUCCCGUGAUACGAAGAAGAUGGUGCUACGCGAUGACACGUCUUCACCGACCCUUACCACGAUCAUGCAAUGUGUUUCCUUUGUCUUGGCGGCCCACCGAAUAUGGUGUCCAGCCGAGACGAGGUGCACUCUUCAUGGCGUACAGGUUUCGGCGUAGGGGCAACGUGCCCUUUGUCUUAGCAGACCACCGAAUACGGCGUCUAGCUAGGACGGGGUAUCAACCACGCCCUUCCAUGAUGUCACCUUUCUUCGGCACCGCGAUGCUUUGCCCUUGUCUUGUUGGACCACCGAAUACGGCGUCCAAACGAGACGAGGUGCACCAUUCAUUGCAUCAGGUCUCGUUUGUCGUACGGGUGGCGUGAUCCUUGUCUUAGCAGACCACCAAAUACGGCGUCUAGCUAAGACGGGGCAUCAACCACGCCCCUCCAUGAUGUUACCUUUCUUCGGCCCCGCAGCGUGAUCCUUGUUUUGCCAGACCACCGAAUACAGCGUCUAGGCAAGACGAGGCAUCCACCACGCUCCUCUAAGAUGUUACCUUCCACGGUCUCGUGAGGCGGAGUCUUUGUCUUCACAGACUGUCGUAACCUCGGCGUCUAGUCGAGACGAGGCACCUACCAAACUGGCAUUGCCGAUAUGAGCGAGCGUUGGUUUUACACCGACGCCGAUCUCCAUAAGAAUACUCCCGUGAGGCGAACCCCUUGCGUACCCCGACGAAACCGCUACAUCGUCAAGAAGUCUAAGCAGAGCAGGACCCAUGCAACUUCAACACCGACUACAUCGCUGUCAAGACCGAUGAGGCGCGACGGCGAGGGUGAACGUGGCCGACACAGAGCCAUGUUUUGAGCGGCACGUGUACCGACGAGGACACGGGCUUUGCCGUCGCCCACACCACACACACACACCAGCAUCAUCAUGCAUGGAGAACGCGAAGCGAAGACGACCACACGGCUUAAUCAGAGGUAUCUCGCGGAGCAACCCGCGGGAGUAAUUAACCGGGAGCUUUUCGAGGCCCCGGGAACCAGGAGACCGCACAUCGUCAUAGUCAUGCAGGCCGCGCUAGUAGGCCACGGAGCGCAAUCAUUUUUUAGGGAAUCUUGUAAUUUUGUUCAUCCAAAGAGAUAAAUGAAAUACUUGUGUCCCGUAUCAGUUUUCUUUGUGUACUAUAGUACACUCGCACGCCCGCAACAUUUAUUUUCCCUUGGAGCGUAGAGAGAUAAUAAUGCAAUAACUAAUGUUAUUUUUUAUUAUUUCUCGUGUCAAACAGUGGGACUUACGUAUAAGUUUUUCCUCCUUUGCAAUGAAUACCUUUAUAUGCCCGUGGGUAAUUCACCUAGUUUCUAACUAUACAUCAUUUUUAGCUUUGUAUUUGAUAUGCAAUGCAGGCUGGAGGGUUCCUUGAGCCGGAGAUCAUCCACUACAACCCCAAGGACUUCGAUCUCGGCAAAAAGAAGGCCUUCCCCUUUAGAGACCAGGUAUUUCUUCUACAUCGUGCUCUGAAAAAGUACAACUAUUACAAUGUUGCUGACCGACACUGCACAAUGCACCGAUGGCAGCAUUUCUUCGCCUCGGUGGAGAAAGCCAACAAGGACAUCGGGGUUACGCCGGAGUACGACCUCCUCGACGGCUUGACGGACUCGUACAACCUCGACUUUGGCCGCGGGAGCUUCAGGAAGGAGGCUGACUUCACCACGAACGACAUGAUCCUCGGCAAGAAGCUCGUG
rnacentral:lncRNA from 1 species